AUACAUACCAUUAGUUUAACAUUAUAAUCAAAUAACGGAAAGUAUUUUCAUAGAAAAUAUUCUUUUAGAAAACUUUUUCCAUGGAAAUCAUUUUUUUAUAUACAAUUUAUUUUUCGCAAAACAAAUGGAGUCCUAAAUUAAAUUUAUUUGGACACUUCAUCUGUUCACUUAUGAAGUUUCUGCUUACUAUUUUGUUGAAUAAAGUCAAGGACCUUGAGAGAAGGAGAAGGCUUGCAGCUUACCUUUGAAAUAAAAUGGUCUUAGCUAUGUCAUCGCCUAACAGAUCAUGUCUCUCAUCUCAUAUGCUCGACAAUGUUAUCCUCUUUGUAUGUUAUUCAUGUUUCUCAUCUCAUAUACUAGUGCUGCUGUUAAUGAGAGUAAUAUAGGAAAGGAUGCUUUAUAUUAAAUGUCUUGAGAGCCUGUAGAUCUAGGCUGAAGUGCACAUCGCAGGAUGUUCGGUUCAUUUUAUCGUGAGGUCAUUUGUGUCUAAGAACAGCAUGUUCGGUUCAUUUUGAAAAUGGAAGCUGCUGAAUUCUUAGUUGUCUCUCAUCUCUAGAGAAGCAGUUGCAAUGCGUUGAUAUUUCAUUUUGGUGUCGUU
rnacentral:misc_RNA from 1 species